CGUACGAUGUCGACUUGGAGGUUGUGCCCUUGAGGCGUGGCUUCCGGAGCUAACGCGUUAAGUCGACCGCCUGGGGAGUACGGCCGCAAGGUUAAAACUCAAAUGAAUUGACGGGGGCCCGCACAAGCGGUGGAGCAUGUGGUUUAAUUCGAUGCAACGCGAAGAACCUUACCUGGUCUUGACAUCCACAGAACUUUCCAGAGAUGGAUUGGUGCCUUCGGGAACUGUGAGACAGGUGCUGCAUGGCUGUCGUCAGCUCGUGUUGUGAAAUGUUGGGUUAAGUCUCGCAACGAGCGCAACCCUUAUCCUUUGUUGCCAGCGGUCCGGCCGGGAACUCAAAGGAGACUGCCAGUGAUAAACUGGAGGAAGGUGGGGAUGACGUCAAGUCAUCAUGGCCCUUACGACCAGGGCUACACACGUGCUACAAUGGCGCAUACAAAGAGAAGCGACCUCGCGAGAGCAAGCGGACCUCAUAAAGUGCGUCGUAGUCCGGAUUGGAGUCUGCAACUCGACUCCAUGAAGUCGGAAUCGCUAGUAAUCGUGGAUCAGAAUGCCACGGUGAAUACGUUCCCGGGCCUUGUACACACCGCCCGUCACACCAUGGGAGUGGGUUGCAAAAGAAGUAGGUAGCUUAACCUUCGGGAGGGCGCUUACCACUUUGUGAUUCAUGACUGGGGUGAAGUCGUAAAAGGGGAUACACACUAACC
rnacentral:rRNA from 1 species